UACGGAGGGUGCAAGCGUUAUCCGGAUUCACUGGGUUUAAAGGGUGCGUAGGUUGAUGGGGAAGUCAGUGGUGAAAUACUCCGACUCAAUCGGAGAACUGCCGUUGAUACUAUCCAUCUUGAAUACGGUGGAGGCGGGCGGAAUGCGUCAUGUAGUGGUGAAAUACUUAGAUAUGACGCAGAACACCUAUUGCGAAGGCAGCUCGCUACACCGGCAUUGACACUGAGGCACGAAAGCGUGGGGAUCAAACAGG
rnacentral:rRNA from 1 species